rnacentral:rRNA from 1 species
UACGAGGGGGGCAAGCGUUGUUCGGAAUUACUGGGCGUAAAGGGCUCGUAGGUGGCCAACUAAGUCAUGCGUGAAAUCCCUCGGCUUAACCGGGGAACUGCGUCUGAUACUGGAUGGCUUGAGUUUGGGAGAGGGAUGCGGAAUUCCAGGUGUAGCGGUGAAAUGCGUAGAUAUCUGGAGGAACACCGGUGGCGAAGGCGGCAUCCUGGACCAACACUGACACUGAGGAGCGAAAGCCAGGGGAGCAAACGGG